rnacentral:rRNA from 1 species
AUUGAACGCUGGCGGCAGGUUUAACACAUGCAAGUCGAGAGAGCGGAGGACGGGUGAGUAAUGUCGGGGAAACUGCCUGAUGGAGGGGGAUAACUAGUGGAAACGGUAGCAAAUACCGCAUACCAUCAGAUGUGCCCAGAUGGGAUUAGCUAGUAGGUGGGGACAUGGCUCACCUAGGCGACGAUCCCGAGCUGGUCUGAGAGGAUGAGCAGCCACACUGGAACUGAUACCCGGUCCAGACUCCUACUGUAGGCAGCAGUGGGGCAUAUUGCACAAUGGGCGCAAGCCUGAUGCAGCCAUGCCGCGUGUGUGAAGAAGGCCUUCGGGUUGUAAAGCACUUUCAGCGAGGAGGCGUUACUCGCAGAAGAAGCACCGGCUAACUCCGUGCCAGCAGCCGCGGUAAUAC